AAUUGCAAACAUAGGCGCAAUAAGCCAAGAAGGCACAUGGCCUAAUCCAGGGUCCAUUAGCUAGUUGUUGUGAAAGCCAGGGGGAAACAAAACUUGGGCCCAAACGCAAGAGAAAAAUGAAGCCAAAGGCGAUGAAAUUCAGAGGUUCCAAAUCAACAUGUGCCCAAACUCAGUCACUUUUCUCACAUUUUUCUCAUGGUCAGAUUCAAAGUCAAACAUCCAAAAUUUCCUCUCGGCUGAGAUUUUCCUCCACCGCGCCAGAGGUUGUCUCCAGCGGCAGAGGCACCUAAAUACUAACAACCAAAUACAUCAUAUAAACCAGUUUCAUGCCCUGAGUCCGAAUCUGAAGUCUGAAAUUCCUAAUUCCUUGACAAUAAAAUGGAUCGAAGCAAAUUGAUGGGAGAACCAUAGCAAUUUAAGCAUAAAUUUAAUGGAAACCUCUCGAAAUAAAAUCCCUCAGGGUUAGGGAUUUGAUUCCCCUAACCGAACCUCACAUAUUAGUAACAAGAGCGGAGUAAAUGGCUAUGAAAAUCAAGAACUCGCCGGAGAAGACGCAGAGCACCUGAAUCUGUUAUGCAGGGUUAAUGCAUGUUGUGGUUGAAUUAUGCGAGUAGAAUGCUUUGUCAUGAGCUGGUUACUUGGAAGAUGUCAACAUGGCUUUGUUGAAGUGAGAUUGUGUGAGUUCAUGGACUAUGUUGCAGCUGACUUGGGAUACAUGUUAAUGGGACCAUUGAAGUGUAGGGCUAGGUUUAAUGCUUAGGAACUUUAUGUUAUGGUUUUUUUUAGGGAAUGGAAUUUUAUGGAAUGUAAGAUUGUGAUGUACUUAUUUCUAUGAACUUGUAUAUUUGAAUGGAAAAUGUACAUUGUAUUGAAUUUGUUAAUGUGAAGUUAUUUAUGGAUGAAA